rnacentral:snoRNA from 1 species
ACAACUGAUGAUUGAAGUAUAGUCUGACUUGGUAUUGCCAAGACUUACCCUUUUGGCUCUGACCAGGGCAUGAUCUUCUCCACCCACCACCUCCUGUU